rnacentral:rRNA from 1 species
AACAAACGCUGGCGGCGUGCUUAACACAUGCAAGUCUAACGGGAAUGUCGGCUUCGGUCGGCUAGUACCGUGGCGCACGGGUGAGUAACACGUGGGUAAUCUGCCCUUGAGUCUGGGAUAACCCUGCGAAAGCGGGGCUAAUACCGGAUAAGACCACGCUCUGUUCGCAGAGUGCGGUAAAAGGUGGCCUCUUCCUGAAAGCUAUCACUUGAGGAUGAGCCCGCGGCCUAUUAGCUAGUUGGUAGGGUGACGGCCUACCAAGGCGACGAUGGGUAGCCGGCCUGAGAGGGUGUACGGCCACACUGGCACUGAGACACGGGCCAGACUCCUACGGGAGGCAGCAGUGGGGAAUUUUGCGCAAUGGGGGAAACCCUGACGCAGCAACGCCGCGUGAGUGAUGAAGGCCUUCGGGUUGUAAAGCUCUUUUAGUGGGGAAGAAGCCCUCCAGGACGAAUAAUCCUGGGGUCUGACGGUACCCACAGAAAAAGUUCCGGCUAACUACGUGCCAGCCGCCGCGGUAAGAC